UAUGCAGUAUAGAAUCAUUCACAUCCUUAAACCCAACAAGUAAAAUGCAAAGCUGAAAAAAGUGAAUGGCAAAUGAGAACUGGAAGAAAAUAAGAUUUACAAGGGAUGACUCCGUGCACGCCCAUGAUACCCUGGUCGAAGGUGUUUCGUAUUACACGUGCCUGUAAGCCUGAAACACCCUGGACAACGUUGAAAACCCUUGGACAAACAGUUUCGGGGAAAUGCAGUGGAACGAUUGCUUCUUCAUAAUUUCAUGCUGUGUUCAUGUAAAAUUAGCAUAUUAAUAAGAAAGACGGCGACAGCGGUCAGGAUAGCAGGAUGAAAUCGCAGGAAGAUCUCCUCCUUCCAAGGAUCCUUCGUGGCUCUUCGACACAUCUGCGUUCCUAGUGGUCGAGUCUCCGCAUUUAGAACUCAAUGGAGCGAAUCUAAUUGCUGUUAUUACGAUGAUGACACGAUGCGUGAGCCUGUCACAUUGUAUGUCGAGGCUGUUACUGUUUUUUCGUACUUGCAUACGAUUGUGUUCUUUUCAUUCUUUGUGAUUGGAUGAAAUUAGAUGUGGGGAGAUUGGAUUAAGUUGGGGUUUUACCUUACCAGUUUUUAAUUUUGGGAAUUGUAUUUGAGGAGUAGGACUUCACUUUGGAAUUGACUUUGGGACUGUAGGACACUAGGGCUGUGGGACCUAGGACUGUAGGACACUAGGACCGUGGGUCACUAGGAUCAUAGGACAUUAGAAGUGUAGGACACUAGGACUGUAGGACACUAGAACCAUAGGACACCAGAACCAUAGGACACUAGGACCAUAGGACACUAGAAGUGUAGGACACUAGGACUGUAGGCCACUAGGACCUUGGGACACUAGGACCCUAGGACCUCAGAACUGUAGAACACUAGGACUGUAGGACACUAGAACUGUAGGACACUAAGACCUUAGGACACUAGGACCUUAGGACACUAGAACCUUAGGAGACUAGGACCUUAGGACACUAGGACCUUAGGACAUUAGGACCUUAGGACAUUAGGACCUUAGGACACUAGGACCUUAGGACACUAGGAUUAUAGGAUCUGCACUGUAGGGCCUAAGACUGUAGGACCUAAGACUGUAAGACCUGAGACUGUAGGACCCAAGACUGUAGAGCCUGAGACUAUAGGACCUGAGACUGUAGGUCCUAAGGCUGUAGCAUCUAGGAUUAUAGGACCUUGUACUCUAGGACUUCAAGCUUUUUGCAAUUUAGCAUUUUACAUUCAUACACUUUGGGUCUUUCAUACACUUCAUUUUUAAACUUCUAUACUCGGAACCUGGAACUGCAGCAUCUACAACUACAACACCUAGGACUAUAGGACCUUGUACUCUAGGACUUCAGGACCUGGGACUGUAGCACCUAGGACUAUGGGACCUUGUACUCUAGGACUUCAUGACUUUUGCAAUUUAUAAUUUUACACUCAUGGUCUUUGGGUUUUUCAUACAUUUCAUUUAUAAACUUCUAUACUCAGGACCUUGAAACUUCCACAUCUUCAUUAUCAUACAUAUUCUCAUCUUUCAACAGAAAUUAACCUCCAUAAAGAUCCAAACCAAUACAACAAAAUAGACACAUAAAUUAUAAAUACAUUGUUCAUGUCCUUAACUCUGAUCAUCUUAAUGUCUCCUUCAAAUCAAGCAAACUUUUGCAGGUAAUGCACUGGUGUUUCAUCAAAAAUACUCUUUGAAUGACAUAUUGUGCAACAGGCUAUACAAGAUAUUUCAGUUGAUCACAGAUGAGUAGAGCACAUAUUUGUAAACCAAAAGAAAAUAUAUGUUUAAACUGGAAGAGGUGACAUUUUGAGGGAAGUCAAAUGCGAACCUGUUUCCGGACCGCCUGCUCCAGGCCUGCCAUGGUCUCCUGUUAACAGGGAUAUCACUUUUCAUUUUUUUCAUAUCUCGUCGUGGACUUUUCGGUUGUGUAGGGUCAGUCAAUGACUUUCCUUGAGAAGAACAUUGAAAGAACCACGUGUCUUCAGACAUAAACCACACGUGCUGAUGUCACCUCAAAAAGUCAUCCACUCUGCCUAUAAUAACAAAUGACGUUUAAAGAAUAUUUAACAAACUCCACUUAAAAAAAGAAAAAGAAUUUAGGGUUAAGCCAUAAACAACUAUGACGACACCGGGCUGAAAACAUCCUGCCCGCAUAAUAACUCGCAUGCAUGAGCUCCUGGUCGGGGAUGUAUCGAGAACGAUUCGACUUUCUCCUCAAUUCUGAUAUCUCUAACCCGUGGUCUCGACAAGAUGUAACAACGUCGUGCUUGAAUGUCUUUUUUUAUGGCGCGACGUACGAAAAAAGGUUCUUGACAAAUAUUCAAUGAUCCUUGUGUACGAUGGUAAUUCGACGCGUGUACCAUCGGACGACGAAUUUAUAAACGGGAUACAGAUUUGUAAGUUACAUUAGCGAUUGCGGACGUAACCAGCUGUUAUAACUAGCAGGUCGUUUAAUGUUUCGAUUGGGAGAGACGGGAUAGGCAGAGACACGGGGGAAAGCCAGGAGGAGCGUGACAUGAACAGAAGCGCAUUUGGUGCCAUAUUACAUGCGCAGUGUAAACAACUCCGUUACAUCGGUGUAGCAGGGGAAUAAGGCAGGCGAAGAGGUCGCAGGGCGGGAAACGGUGCGGAGCAAGUGAGGUUAUGUUAGGUGGAAUCAAUUUAUCAUUUGUAAGAGUUUGAUAAAAAGGAAAGAAUGAUAAGGUAAUAAAAGAAUUUCUGGUACUAUGCAGAGUGACUACCACUUUUAAUAUUUAAGUUUGCAAAUCUUACUUUUAUUUUUUGCAAUAAUAUUGUGCAAUACAUACUUAUUUUUUCUUAGAAAUAUUAUCUGAUGUAUUUGUGUUUUAGGUGGAAUCAAUUUAUCAUUUGUAAGAAUUUGAUAAUAAGGAAAGAAUGGUAAGGUAAUAAAAGAAUUUCUGGUACUAUGCAGAGUGACUACCACUUUUAAUAUUUAAGUUUGCAAAUCUUACUUUUAUUUUUUGCAAUAAUGUACAAUCCAUAUUUAUUUUUUUCUUAUUAGUUAUUGAAGGUUAACUACUGAUGCUUAUGUUAAGAAAAAGCAUGUAUGUAGAUGCUUAUAAAAUUACACAGUUGCAUAUCAAAUAUUGCAUUCUUAUGUCUUGUGAUAUAUGUAUGUAAUUGUUCUUAAUACUGUGUCUAAGAAUUAUCACUGUAUCUAUAGGAUUUAGUUCAUUGUUAAAACAUUAAGUUAAUUUAAUAUUACUCUCAAAAAAAGUUUUGUGGCAGAAGUUGUUGACAUAAAUGAUUUGUAAAGUAAUUACAGAAGUAUUUGAUAUGAAUCUGAGGAAUCUUAAAUAUGGAAUAAUAUAUGACGGUAUUUCAGCAGAUGGAUAGAUUCAUAUCUCUCGUAUAUUAUAAAAUAGGGAAGUAGGAUGUCCAGGAGUUUCAGGUUAUGGUGCUUCAUAUUUUCAUGGAGCGGUCUCACCAUGGCAACACCCUAGCAGCCAUUUCAGAGCCUUAUGAUCAAAACAUCAUAUGAUAAAAGUUAGACACUUUGAUGUAUACACUUUUUAUUUAACAAUCAAGAUUUAUUGUAAAAAUUGACAUUGAUCAAAAUUAAUGUCAGUAAAAUAUGAUACAGUAUUCUUCGCUAUCAUACUUAAGUAAGAUUAAAAAUUUAUUAAGCAAAUACAAUCUCUUAAACAUUAUUUAUAAUUAUAUCAGAAUAGUACCAAUUCUGUAUUAUGCGAAAACCCUCAGAAAAUGCGCCAGAGGAUCAUAUACAUAUUCACCUUGCAACAGUUGCUGAAAUCCUAUUCAAAAUGCGUAGGUGUAUCUCGUUGAAGAAAAACCAUGAAGACAAACACAUAUUUCCUUGUGACAUACUCGUUACAUAAAAAUUUCAUAAAGAACUGAAGUUUUAAUACACCAUUGCUUGAA
rnacentral:lncRNA from 1 species